AUUGAACGCUGGCGGCAUGCUUUACACAUGCAAGUCGAACGGCAGCGCGGGCUUCGGCCUGGCGGCGAGUGGCGAACGGGUGAGUAAUAUAUCGGAACGUACCCAGGGGUGGGGGAUAACGUAGCGAAAGUUACGCUAAUACCGCAUACGCUCUAUGGAGGAAAGCAGGGGACCGCAAGGCCUUGCGCGCUUGGAGCGGCCGAUAUCUGAUUAGCUAGUUGGUGGGGUAAAGGCUCACCAAGGCAACGAUCAGUAGCUGGUCUGAGAGGACGACCAGCCACAAUGGGGCUGAGACAAGGCCCAGACUACUGAGGGAGGCAGCAGUGGGGAAUUUUGGACAAUGGGGGCAACCCUGAUCCAGCAAUGACGCGUGAGUGAAGAAGGCCUUCGGGUUGUAAAGCUCUUUUGUCAGGGAAGAAACGGGAGUGGCUAAUAUCCAUUCUUAAUGACGGUACCUGAAGAAUAAGCACCGGCUAACUACGUGACAGCAGCCGCUGUAACAC
rnacentral:rRNA from 1 species